GGAGGAAAGCAGGGGAUCGCAAGACCUCAUGCUCGUGGAGCGGCCGAUAUCUGAUUAGCUAGUUGGUAGGGUAAAAGCCUACCAAGGCAUCGAUCAGUAGCUGGUCUGAGAGGACGACCAGCCACACUGGAACUGAGACACGGUCCAGACUCCUACGGGAGGCAGCAGUGGGGAAUUUUGGACAAUGGGCGAAAGCCUGAUCCAGCAAUGCCGCGUGAGUGAAGAAGGCCUUCGGGUUGUAAAGCUCUUUUGUCAGGGAAGAAACGGUGAAGGCUAAUAUCCUUUGCUAAUGACGGUACCUGAAGAAUAAGCACCGGCUAACUACGUGCCAGCAGCCGCGGUAAUACGUAGGGUGCAAGCGUUAAUCGGAAUUACUGGGCGUAAAGCGUGCGCAGGCGGUUUUGUAAGUCUGAUGUGAAAUCCCCGGGCUCAACCUGGGAAUUGCGUUUGAAACUACAAAGCUAG
rnacentral:rRNA from 1 species